UUUUCUUUCAAUUUCUUUGCCUAUCUUUUCCUCCCUCCGCCAACCCCACGACGCCAAUCAAUCAAUUCCGAUCAUGAACUUGAUCAUGCUGCUGCUUUCAUGACGAUUGCACCGCAGAAAAUUUUCACGUCUUGCGGUGGUGCUACCACGGGAUUGGCAAGCUACACCGGCCCUCCGGCCUCGCCGUCUACCGAGACACGCAAGCCGCAAGCGACAAAAAGUUGCACGACCAUGCGCUAAGCCGCUUGGCUCAUUCAUUCCCUCUCGCUUCCCCUCUUCCCUUCUACAUCCUCCUUUCCAUCAUGGCAGUGUGCAACACCAGGUUCGGGCCAUGCGCGGCGUUCACCAAAGUUCAUUUAGCUCUUUCCUGCCUCGUCCUCCCCCAAGCCUUGUGACAGACUGCUGGCGAUUAUCCGUCAAGCCCUGUUCGUAGCUCGUUAUAGCUGAGCUAGGCGCGGGAAGAUUGAAAGGGGCAGGCUGAAAGGAGAUGUCGAGGUGAGCUGCUGCUGCAGGGACGGCUUGGCUCAGCAUCACAUAUCGAGAGCUGCCGAAAAUGACAUUGCACCUACACGUUGGCACACCUCAUCACCUUAGGCAAGGCGCGAUGCGGCGAGGGCCGUCAACGCGUUUUGGUACUCCCAUCCUUCCCAUUCUUUUCCAUUCCCCCAUCCAUCAGCGCGGCUGCGAUCAUUGAUGGUGUUAUUGCAAAUGUGGUUGUUUACCACAUCACCUUGCCAUUAGGCAAUGUGGCUUACCUACCCUCUACCUCUUUUUUUUUCUGCCAAGCAAGGUGUUCGCUUUAUGUGUUCAUCUACACAUCUACGUCUCAACUGGUUGACGUUGAUGUCCAAGCUUAAUGGCUAAAUUGACAUAUUUCAAACCCAAUGCUGGGCGCCCGUGUUGACCGUCUCGUCUUGAGCUUCACAUGAUAUCCGGGAAUCAGUGGAGGUUACAUUCUAAUAUUCCAAGCAACACUAUAUGUUGUUGUAUAAUUCAUGAUACCAUUUGUUCUGGGGAAGUUGAGGAGGGGAAUAUACCUCCUCGAUCUAGAUGUUCGCCGACUGCUGCCUUCCAUGGUUCGUCAACGGGGCAAAGGGGAAAGGUAGUCAGCAUCAUCAACCACUCAAUCGAUUGAGAGCUG